rnacentral:rRNA from 1 species
GCCUUCAUGAAGCUGGAAUUGCUAGUAAUGGCAGGUCAGCAUACUGCCGUGAAUACGUUCCCGGGCCUUGUACACACCGCCCGUCACACCAUGAGAGUUGGAAAUACCCGAAGCCUGUGAGCUAACUUAAAGAGGCAGCAGUCGAAGGUAGAGCCAAUGAUUGGGGUGAAGUCGUAACAAGGUAGC